rnacentral:rRNA from 1 species
UUAAGCAUAUCAAUAAGCGGAGGAAAAGAAACCAACCGGGAUUGCCUUAGUAACGGCGAGUGAAGCGGCAAAAGCUCAAAUUUGAAAUCUAGUACCUUCGGUGCUCGAGUUGUAAUUUGUAGAGGGAUACUUUGGGGCCGUUCCUUAUCUAUGUUCCUUGGAACAGGACGUCAUAGAGGGUGAGAAUCCCGUAUGAUGAGGAGUGCGGUUCUAUGUAAAGUGCUCUCGAAGAGUCGAGUUGUUUGGGAAUGCAGCUCUAAGUGGGUGGUAAAUUCCAUCUAAAGCUAAAUAUUGGCGAGAGACCGAUAGCGAACAAGUACAGUGAUGGAAAGAUGAAAAGAACUUUGAAAAGAGAGUGAAAAAGUACGUGAAAUUGUUGAAAGGGAAGGGCAUUUGAUCAGACAUGGUGUUUUGCGCCCUCUGCUCCUUGUGGGUGGGGGACUCUCGCAGCUCACUGGGCCAGCAUCAGUUUUGGCGGCAGGAUAAAUCUGUAGGAAUGUAGCUUGCUUCGGGAAGUGUUAUAGCCUGCGGGAAUACUGCCAGCUGGGAUUGAGGACUGCGACAUUCGUCAAGGAUGCUGGCAUAAUGGUUAUAUGCCGCCCGUU